CGGCCGCGGUAUUUUGACCGUGCAAAGGUAGCGCAAUCACUUGUCUUUUAAAUAAAGACCUGUAUGAAUGGCUAAACGAGGGCUUAACUGUCUCCCCUUUCAAGUCAGUGAAAUUGAUCUACCCGUGCAGAAGCGGGUAUAAUAAUACAAGACGAGAAGACCCUUUGGAGCUUAAGGUACAAAACUCAGCCACGUUAAACAACUUAAUAAAAAGCAAAAACUUUGUGGAACAUGAUAUUUUACCUUCGGUUGGGGCGACCGCGGAGGAAAAUAAAGCCUCCAAGUGGACUGGGAUUUAACCUCCUAAAACCAAGAGGGACACCUCUAAGCCAUAGAACAUCUAACCAAGCAUGAUCCGGCUAACAAAACCGACCAACGAACCAAGUUACCCUAGGGAUAACAGCGCAAUCCUCUCCCAGAGUCCAUAUCGACGAGAGGGUUUACGACCUCGAUGUUGGAUCAGGACAUCCUAAUGGUGCAGCCGCUAUUAAGGGUU
rnacentral:rRNA from 1 species